rnacentral:rRNA from 1 species
GCUGGCGGCGUGCCUAACACAUGCAAGUCGAACGAAGCAUUUACCAUGAAGUUUUCGGAUGGAAUGGUAACUGACUUAGUGGCGGACGGGUGAGUAACGCGUGGAUAACCUGCCUCAUACAGGGGGAUAACAGCUGGAAACGGCUGCUAACACCGCAUAAGCGCACAGUACCGCAUGGUACGGUGUGAAAAUAUUAAUAGGUAUGGGAUGGAUCCGCGUCUGAUUAGCUGGUUGGUAAGGUAAUGGCUUACCAAGGCGACGAUCAGUAGCCGGCUUGAGAGAGUGACCGGCCACAUUGGGACUGAGACACGGCCCAAACUCCUACGGGAGGCAGCAGUGGGGAAUAUUGCACAAUGGGGGAAACCCUGAUGCAGCGACGCCGCGUGAGUGAAGAAGUAUUUCGGUAUGUAAAGCUCUAUCAGCAGGGAAGAAAUUGACGGUACCUGACUAAGAAGCCCCGGCUAACUACGUGCCAGCAGCCGCGGUAAUACGUAGGGGGCAAGCGUUAUCCGGAUUUACUGGGUGUAAAGGGAGCGUA